rnacentral:rRNA from 1 species
UACGAAGGGGGCUAGCGUUGCUCGGAAUUACUGGGCGUAAAGCGCGCGCAGGCGGUCUUCCAAGUCAGUGGUGAAAGCCCGGAGCUCAACUCCGGAAUUGCCAUUGAAACUGUUAGACUUGAGGAUGAGAGAGGUGAGUGGAAUUCCCAGUGUAGAGGUGAAAUUCGUAGAUAUUGGGAAGAACACCGGUGGCGAAGGCGGCUCACUGGCUCAUUACUGACGCUCAGGCGCGAUAGCGUGGGGAUCAAACAGG